rnacentral:rRNA from 1 species
GUGGCAGACGGGUGAGUAACACAUUGGUAACCUACCUCUAACUGGGGAAUAACCCGAAGAAAUUUGGGCUAAUACCCCAUAUUCUUUUCUCUCAUAUGAGUGAAAAGGAAAGCUCCGGCAGUUAGAGAGGGGCCUAUGGUCCAUCAGCUUGUUGGUGAGGUAAAAGCUCACCAAGGCUAUGACGGAUAGCGGGUGUGAGAGCAUGGCCCGCCUCAAUGGGACUGAAACACUGCCCAUACUCCUACGGGAGGCUGCAGUCGAGAAUCUUCCUCAAUGCGUGAAAGCGUGAAGGAGCAAUGCCGCGUGCCGGAAGACGCCUUUCGGGGUGUAAACGGCUUUUAUGCGGGAACAAACUUCGGUUGAGUGUACCACUUGAAUAAGUGGUUGCUAACUCUGUGCCAGCAGCAGCGGUAAUACAGAGACCUCAAGCGUUAUCCGGAUUUAUUGGGCGUAAAGGGUCCGUAGGCUGUUUGCCAAGUUUCUCGUCAAAUUUUACGGCUUAACCGUAAAACUGCGAGGAAAACUGACAAACUAGAGACUGGGAGAGGCAAGCGGAACGGCUGGUGUAGGGGUAAAAUCCGUUAAUAUCAGCCGGAACACCAAAGGCGAAGGCAGCUUGCUGGAACAGUUCUGACGCUAAGGGACGAAAGCGUGGGUAGCGAAUGGGAUUAGAUACCCCAGUAGUCCACGCCGUAAACGAUGGGUACUAGC